UACGGAGGGUGCGAGCGUUGUUCGGAUUUAUUGGGCGUAAAGCGCGUGUAGGCGGCUUCUUAAGUCUGAUGUGAAAGCCCCGGGCUCAACCUGGGAAGUGCAUUGGAAACUGGGAAACUUGAAUACGGGAGAGGGUAGUGGAAUUCCUGGUGUAGGAGUGAAAUCCGUAGAUAUCAGGAGGAACACCGGUGGCGAAGGCGGCUACCUGGACCGAUAUUGACGCUGAGACGCGAAAGCGUGGGGAGCAAACAGG
rnacentral:rRNA from 1 species